CCUACGGGAGGCAGCAGUGAGGAAUAUUGGACAAUGGGUGAGAGCCUGAUCCAGCCAUCCCGCGUGAAGGAUGACGGUCCUAUGGAUUGUAAACUUCUUUUGUACAGGGAUAAACCUACUCUCGUGAGGGUAGCUGAAGGUACUGUACGAAUAAGCACCGGCUAACUCCGUGCCAGCAGCCGCGGUAAUACGGAGGGUGCAAGCGUUAUCCGGAUUUAUUGGGUUUAAAGGGUCCGUAGGCGGACCCGUAAGUCAGUGGUGAAAUCUCAUAGCUUAACUAUGAAACUGCCAUUGAUACUGCGGGUCUUGAGUAAAUUUGAAGUGGCUGGAAUAAGUAGUGUAGCGGUGAAAUGCAUAGAUAUUACUUAGAACACCAAUUGCGAAGGCAGGUCACUAAGAUUUAACUGACGCUGAUGGACGAAGGCGUGGGUAGCGAACAGGAUUAGAUACCCUGGUAGUCCACGCCGUAAACGAUGCUAACUCGUUUUGGAUUUUCGGAUUUCAGAGACCAAGCGAAAAGUGAUAAGUUAGCCACCUGGGAGGUACGUCCGCGAGGAGUAGAACGACGAAAGGAAAGUUAGACGGCGUGAGACGUGCCGACGGACGACGACGAGGGAGGAGG
rnacentral:rRNA from 1 species